AACGAACGCUGGCGGCAUGCCUAACACAUGCAAGUCGAACGAGACCUUCGGGUCUAGUGGCGCACGGGUGCGUAACGCGUGGGAAUCUGCCCUUGGGUUCGGGAUAACAGUUGGAAACGACUGCUAAUACCGGAUGAUGUCUUCGGACCAAAGAUUUAUCGCCCAGGGAUGAGCCCGCGUCGGAUUAGCUAGUUGGUGAGGUAAAGGCUCACCGAGGCGACGAUCCGUAGCUGGUCUGAGAGGAUGAUCAGCCACACUGGGACUGAGACACGGCCCAGACGCCUACGGGGGGCAGCAGUGGGGAAUAUUGGACAAUGGGCGAAAGACUGAUCCAGCAAUGCCGCGUGAGUGAUGAAGGCCUUAGGGUUGUAAAGCUCUUUUACCCGGGAUGAUAAUGACAGUACCGGGAGAAUAAGCCCCGGCUAACUCCGUGCCAGCCGCCGCGGUAACAC
rnacentral:rRNA from 1 species